UUUUCCAUUGCGCGGGAAAAUGUUAUAUACUACCCCGGUUCCUAACCUUCAUAAUUUUUGUUAAAUAAUGUUGAUGUGUUUACAAGGUUAUGUUGUAGAAAAUGAUUUCUAAGUAAAAAAAAAAAAUGUUUGAGGAUGUAAAGUUUUUUAUAUCUGGUGAAGUACCGGACUCGGUGCGCCAAACACUGCUCGAGGGCGGGGGCCUGGAGGUGAGGUACUUCUCCGACUACGUGUCGCACUGCAUCGUGGGCCAGGGCGCGGCGGAAUGCGACGUCACGGAGGCCAGGGAACUGUACGAGGUGCCGGCGGUGAGGGGGGACUGGGUCCUGCUGUCAGCCGAUUGUGGCAGGCUUCUUCCCACUGCCGGGUUCCUGGUCGGGGACGACCGUGUGUUCUCCGGCGUGGUGGCGUGCCUGUCGGGCGUCGGCUGGCGCGACAGGAGGCGGCUGUGGGCGAUGGUGGCCUACCACGGGGGCAGGCUGGACCCGGCGCUGCGCAGCUCGUGCACGCACCUGAUAGCCGCGCAGCCCAGCGGGGCCAAGUACGAGCGCGCGGCGAAGUGCCCCGGCAUCCAGGUGGUCUCCCCGGACUGGGUCCUGGACAGCUUGCGGGCCGGCAGGCGAUGCGACGAGGGGGCCUACCACCCGAGGCUCUUGCUGCCAGCUCGACCCGAGUCGCCCGGCAAUAGCAUAACUAGAUCAUUUUCUGAAGCUACCAACGAAUUUUGUCCGGACAGCGAAACCCGAGCAGUUCUGGAAAAGCUUAAAAUGUGUUUUCCCUGGAACAAACCAGAGAGUCCGUCACUUCUUGACGGCGUGUGUCCUUUGCCUCAGGCAGAGCAGGCUCAGGACACUGUGACUAGUCCGUUAGCCUCACCGCUGCCGAGGAGGUGCGAGACUCAGGUCAGACUGACGUGCGGCUUGGCCGCCCCGAACGCCCGCUCCCCGCCGGCUCCCGGGAGAGACGGGGCGAGGGCAGUCGAGUGCACCGUGUCGGACGCCCUCUGCAGGCUGUGCAACCCGGCGGACGGGCGCGAGGCGGCCGCGGGCGGGCGGGGGCGGGAGGGGCAGGCGGCCGAGGGGAGCGUCCCCUUCGUGUCCCUGCUGGUGCGUCGUGUGCCGGGUGUCAGGACACAGCCGUCCACCCCCGAUGGGGUCUCGGGCGGUCGGUUGCGGCAGACCGCGUCCAUCGCAGCGCGGAGGCUGGCCGCCUUCAACAAGGACGCCAGGUCUGCGGACGGACAGGUUUCGUUACCGCCGCAGCGGUGCCUGUAUGGAAGCGUUUUCUGCAUACUUGGAUACGAGGAAGUGUCUUCCAAGGGUCCGUGCUUGAAGUACAUCAUCGGCAAGUACGGCGGGGCGGUGGAGAGCUCGUACGGACCUUCUGUCACCCACGUCCUGUGUGCCUCCCUCGACGAUCCCACUGCGCAACAGGCUGCUAAAGAUGGUAAGCGCUGUAUCACUGCUUACUGGCUGAACGAUGUUUUGCAGAAGAAGAAAAUACUACCACCGUGGCAAGCCAUACAUCUUCCUGUCACAUUCAGCAAGGAAAAGCCAUGCAAAGAUCUUAGGAUUUCUCUUUCCCAGUUUGAGAAUGAAGAACGCAUUCGGGUCCAGUUAAUGGUUGAAAAAAUUGGAGCAACUUUUACACAAUCAUUCAGUAAAGAGAAUGACUUGUUAGUGUGCAAGAGGGCAUCUGGCUACAAGUACACCAAAGCUUGCGAUUGGGCCAUCCCUGUGGUGAAUGUUCGGUGGCUCAAUGAUGUGUACCUCAGCGAUCCUCCGUGCGCUCUGGACCCCAGGCAGACAAAGUAUCAGGAUUUUGAUGACAGCCAUUCCCAGCAGCCACAGUUGGACAGCCGUCUGAUGGCUUCGUGGGAAGAAGGUGUGCAAACCGACAGACUUGCAGAGCGCAAUACCUCUGUCAGCUCGGGAGCCAAGAGGCCACGCGAGGGAGAAGCUUGUUCGCAAGCGCAAUCGAAGAAACUGAGAAGUGACGCAGACCCUCGCGUGCAGCACAAGAAUUUGAAGGUCGUUUUCUCGUUGGCAAACGAUAAGGAAAAUCUUGAGCAGAAGGUUCUGGAGCUGGGAGGAGACGUGGUGGCAGAUAUCAAGGACGCCACUCACUUGGUCAUGGGAACUAAAAACUUGUCUACCAAGUUUUUUUGUGCUUUGUCUUUGGUGCAGUUUAUUUUGUCAGACAAGUGGGUCGAAGACAGCUACGCUGCAAAGAGAUUCGUAGGUGAGAAACCAUAUAUUUUGGAUGUCAGUUGGAAAGGAGUGUCAAAACUCUCACUGUCGAGUCUACUGAAGAAGCCAAACCGUACCAAAUUAUUCAAAGUAAGUUGGACAGUGUAUUAACAAGACACAGUGCAUGCAAUUAUUCACACUUAUCUACUUACAUUCCUAAGGUAAUAGCUGAUAGCUCAAAUAGUGUAGCAAAAUAAUCAAAUUGAUUCUUUAGGCAUCAGUGAUUCCUCCUCAAAAAAUCAUAAUUGAAGUGUAAAUAUUCUGGCCAGACAUUGAUAGCAGUCAAAGCCAAUAGAAACUCAGUAAGAACUUCAGAAUCUAAUUCUAAUUAAAAUAUAUAGUUUAAGGCUUAAGCUACAUUAAAAUACAGCAAAACCCCUUAUUUGCACUUUUCAUGGGGACAAAGUAAAAAAGUGUAAAAAGCGGGAAAGUGUAAAUAAAGGGAAAAGCAUAAAAAGGAGUACAGUUUACCUUAUUUAGAAUUUUUUUCCUUUUGUUUAAUAGCACAUACUACAAUGCAGGUACAAACACACUAACAACAAAUUUUACUUUAGUAUUUAAUCAAUUAUUAAUUUACCACAUUUGACAAAAAUAAAAAAAGAAUGAAAGCCAAAAUGUUUUUCUGAUUACUUCCUAAAAAAUAAAUUUGAAAUUUUCUUCUGCUUGCUUUUUUGGCUGUUCAAGGAGAUUAUUUGCCUCUCCAAAUUAUAAAUACAGUUGCAACCGGCAGGGUUUAUAACAAAUACGGGCUACAUACACAUUGCUCACAGUAAAAAAAUUUUUAAGAAAAGGCCGCAAAUUGAUGAAUAUUUACCGUCAAUAGCGCGCCAAACGCGGAGAAAGGUCAUUGUACUCGGUCAGCUGCUGUAACGACGCGGCGGCGCAUGCGCACUCUAUGCUCCGCCCAGACUCAUGACGCCAUCAGCCGCCAACCAAUAGAUGCGAGCUUAGCGGAAAAAAAUAUAAGCUCCACCUCCCGUGUACCAAUUUUAUCCAGUUCUAAUACCAGUUUAUUGGUAUACGCACCAGUUUUCUCGCUGCCGUGACAUGUUCAAGUUUACGUUUAUCAUGAUGUCUUGAUACCAAUAAUUAAUUAUUUACGAUCCCCAGAAAUAAAUGGUUAGUUUAAAAAAUAUGGCGUCAACUGUACAAUACUUCCCAAAUUAUAAAAGACGUAUAAAACAGUUACCAAGACACCGCUCAUUUUAUCUUGUGAAGUUUAUGUCUCGUACCAGUAUUUCGGCUAAGUUGUGACAUAAAUACAGUAUCAGAACUUACAAGCAGCCAUGUUUGUACAUUCAUGAGUUUACGUUUUUCCCUCGUGCAUUUUAGAUUGUCUCCUGCUAUAAUUACUCGUACUUUUACACGCCUAGGCUUAAAUUAUUACAUGUUUAGAAAUAAAAGCAACUUUUCAUGUUAUAAAAUAUGUAUAUUUUGCUAUUUAAAAUGUUCAUUGCCUACUAGCUCCACGGUAUUUUCUGGUUGUUUAUGGUUGUUCGUGACGUAAAUAGCGGGAUUGAUUCGAUUUUUGAGACGUAAUUCGCGGGAAAGUAUUGUAUUGGACUAUAUGGGAACCAAACGGGACCUGAAGAAUAUAGUGCAAAUAACGGGAAAACGUAAAUAACGGUAACGUAAAUAAGGGGUUUCGCUGUAGUAACAUAAACUUGCCAUUACCAUAUUUUUUCAAAGCCAAUCCAACACCUGGCCAUACCUGUUCACAGAAUAUUCUGAAGGAAGAAAAAUUUUUUUGUAGGUUACAUCGUUGGGGGAAAAUCUUAACUACCCAAGAAACUACAUGCUAGAUUAAACUACAUGGAUAUUUUUUAAUACCAUACCAGGCUAGAGAGAGUUUGUGAACAAUAUUUGUGUUAUUUGUUAUUUCACUCUCUGUCAAAUGUUUGUGUUAUUUGAGGGAAAAUUUUAGCCUCAGAAUAAAGGCGAUAUGUAGGGAAAACAUUUUUUGUAACUCCCGGCACAACCCCCAAGAGCAGUACGCUGCGGGCAGUCAUAGAAGCUGC